GGUUAGUUCAGUUGGUUAGAGCAUGGUGCUGACGACCCCAAGGUUGCAGGUUCGAUCCCCAUAAAGGACA
rnacentral:tRNA from 1 species